rnacentral:rRNA from 1 species
GUGGGGAAUAUUGGGCAAUGGGCGAAAGCCUGACCCAGCAACGCCGCGUGAAGGAAGAAGGUCUUCGGAUCGUAAACUUCUAUCCUUGGUGAAGAUAAUGACGGUAGCCGAGAAGGAAGCCCCGGCUAACUACGUGCCAGCAGCCGCAGUAAUACGUAGGGGGCAAGCGUUGUCCGGAAUGAUUGGGCGUAAAGGGCGCGUAGGCGGCCUGGUAAGUCUGGAGUGAAAGUCCUGCUUUUAAGGUGGGAAUUGCUUUGGAUACUGUCGGGCUUGAGUGCAGGAGAGGUAAGUGGAAUUCCCGGUGUAGCGGUGAAAUGCGUAGAGAUCGGGAGGAACACCAGUGGCGAAGGCGACUUACUGGACUGUAACUGACGCUGAGGCGCGAAAGUGUGGGGAGCAAACAGGAUUAGAAACCCCGGUAGUCC